AUUCCAAAGAGGACCUUCAGUGGGCAGAGUAGGUGGGCGAGGCUUCUGCUGCUGAAGGUCGCGGAGCCCUUCCGUUUGCCUCUCUCCCGGAUGCUUCUCCUCCUGUUUGCGCUUGCGGAAGGGGUGAAGGUGGGAGGACCACCACGCUGUUGAAGGUUAUGUCUGAGUGUGUGAGCAUCCAGAAUUCCUGUGGGCUUCUAGGGCACAUUUGCUUAGAGCUCCUAGUUUGGUUAGUUAGGUGGUGAUCUUUAACGAGUUAGAAGACAACCUACCUUCAAAAUGUUUCUGCCAAUGAGGAGUCAGGAAGCGACCACAAGGUUCUGCUCUUGAAGAGAAGGCUAGGAUGGGCCUCAGUGAUAAAAGGUGCCGUGGAAAACAAAGUGUAAUCAAAAGAUGAAAGCUGAAACAGAAAAAUUAAAAGAAGAAAUAAAAGAAAAGUCAACACCCUUUUGUGUGAAAUGUGGGAUAGUUAAACCAUAUCGCAUUCUUAUCCUCGUCUGCACUUUCAGUGGUUCUGCCCUUCUGUGGUGGGCCUUCAGCCUCUCCACCUGGGUGAGGAUAGAAAUCCCAAGUGGCUCCCAAGUCCUUUUCAGCGCUCUUUUUGCAAUAUGCAGUGGUGAGAUCAAGUGUUGGAUUCCACUAUCAAAAUCAACUUUAUACUCCUGGUCUUACCUCAUUCCCUUCCUGAUACCCGGAAACAGUACUUUGUCUUCACAAUCGUCUUCUUCGUCAUAGGUAUCUGUGUGUUCCUUGCAUUACUGCUGCACUCUCUGCAUGUUUUGAAAGUAACCAACUUAUGCAAGGAUGCGAAAAUCACCUUUCUCUACCCUACUUUCAUCCUUUCAUUCAGCGCCAUACUAUUUUUCUUAUCUGGAAUCCUCUGCUUAUUCAGCUCCCAUCAUUGUUGGCUUCAGUGCGUCUUACAGCAACCAAUCCAAGUGAAACCUAUGCAAAUGUCAGUGGUCAGUGGGAACUCAGCAAUGGUCACAGAAAGGACACCGGGUAGAGAUGGCUAGCCUAACCUCAGUGGUGGUGAGAAAGCUGAUUUUAGAAGAAACAUGUCUCACCUGUAAUUCAAGAUUUCACAGCUAUACACACACUCUUAUUUAAUUACUGCGUAAGACUGGAAAGAGUUGGCUGGUUACUAAUCAUUGUUCAAGAUAUGGCUUAGGAUUCCGGGGACUUAGAUAUUCAUAAGAGAGAAAACACAGUUGGGGUGUGGGGAAGGUUGAAUGUUUGGCUCUUGGGGACUUGAAAUGAAAAAAACUUCUCUUCACCUUGAAGAUUCUUCUCUUGGCACCCAUUUCCCAACCCUCUUGCUGGUAUGCCUGGUCUCCUGGCAGUGCUUUUUUUUAGCAGUAACAAAACUUUCUCUCCACUAUAAAGCCUGAGUUUGAUAAAAACAAAUUUUUUUUCUGCUCUCUGGGAAUUUCAUGAGUGGAAUCUUUUCACUACUGUGUUAUUCGGGACUCUUUUUUUUUUUUUUUUUUUUGCAUGUAACAAACCUUAUCCAAACUACCUUCAACAAAAAUUGAAUUUAUUGGAUGCAGGGGUUACCUCAUAGACUCAAAGAAAGUUCUGGUAGAAUCAGGGCUACAUGAGAGAGUUGGGGAGCUGGAAUCUUGAGAUCAUUUCCUCAGGAUACUAUUUUUUUAAACUAUCCACUGAAGGUUAAUGGAAUUUCUCAAUCCUUAAAAUGGAAGCACUAUCCUAAAUUCCUCUUGCUCAUCACUUUCAAUGAAUCACCAAAGCUUGUCCUUUCCACCUCAACAAGACUUCUGUUCCCCUCCCUGAGCCCUCCUCACUGGUCAUCGUGACCAGGUCUUUGUCAUCCCUGCCCAGACUGUGUUGUCUCUGAAUGUGGCUUGUCCCCCACUGUGGCCUACUUCUGCGAAGCUGCCCAGCUCGAGCUUCCUAAAACACAGAGCUGAGAAUGUGCUCCUUAAAAGCCUAUUUUGCCUUCUUCUGGCCUUCAGGAUAAAUUCCUUAUCUUGAUAAAUAAAGUUAUUUACAAGUUGGCAUCAA
rnacentral:lncRNA from 1 species